rfam:Salmo salar isolate Sally breed double haploid chromosome ssa20, whole genome shotgun sequence.
UGCGUGCACAAAUGUAAGUUGCUUUGGAUAAAAGUGUCUGCUAAAUGGCAUUUA